rnacentral:tRNA from 1 species
AAGCUUAGGUUAACUCAACUAAACCGGGGACCUUCAAAGUCCCAAAAAGGGGCGCAACUCUAGCUUCUG